UACAGAGGUCUCAAGCGUUGUUCGGAUUCAUUGGGCGUAAAGGGUGCGUAGGUGGCGGGGUAAGUCAGGUGUGAAAUCUCGGGGCUCAACCCCGAAACUGCACUUGAUACUGCCUUGCUCGAGUACUGGAGAGGAGAUUGGAAUUUACGGUGUAGCAGUGAAAUGCGUAGAUAUCGUAAGGAAGACCAGUGGCGAAGGCGAGUCUCUGGACAUUUCCUGACGCUGAGGCACGAAAGCCAGGGGAGCAAACGGG
rnacentral:rRNA from 1 species